rnacentral:rRNA from 1 species
AAGAUGUAGAGGCGAUCGCAGCCUACAUCGCAAGGGAUUCACCAUCCUAUGCCGCCGCAGUAGUACAAAGAAUUAUCUCCAUUACCCAAAAACUCCCCGAAAACGGUACCGAAGGUCGUUUGAUUCCCGAAUUUGAAGAAUCAACCAUCAUCGAACAAUUUGCCUACAGCUACCGCCUCAUUUAUCGUCUCGAACAAGAAACCUAAUGAGCUGAAAAGUAAAAGAUUUAUCGCCUAGGGAAGAGCUCGCGGCUGAUUAGCUAGUUGGUAGUGUAAAGGACAACCAAGGCAACGAUCAGUAGCUGGUCUGAGAGGAUGAGCAGCCACACUGGGACUGAGACACGGCCCAGACUCCUACGGGAGGCAGCAGUGGGGAAUUUUCCGCAAUGGGCGAAAGCCUGACGGAGCAAUACCGCGUGAGGGAGGAAGGCUCUUGGGUUGUAAACCUCAAAACUCAGGGAAGAAGAAAGUGACGGUACCUGAUAUAAGCAUCGGCUAACUCCGUGCCAGCAGCCGCGGUAAUACGGAGGAUGCAAGCGUUAUCCGGAAUCAUUGGGCGUAAAGCGUCCGUAGGUGGCAUUUCAAGUCUGCAUUCAAAGACCGAGGCUCAACCUCGGGCAGGGUGUGGAAACUGAAAAGCUAGAGUACAGGAGGGGUAGAGGGAAUUCCUAGUGUAGCGGUGAAAUGCGUAGAGAUUAGGAAGAACACCAGUGGCGAAGGCGCUCUACUGGACAUGUACUGACACUGAGGGACGAAAGCUAGGGUAGCGAAAGGGAUUAGAUACCCCUGUAGUCUUAGCUGUAAACGAUGGAUACUAAGUGUAGCGGGUAUAAACUCCGGCUGUGCUGAAGCAAACGCGUUAAGUAUCCCGCCUGGGGAGUACGCACGCAAGUGUGAAACUCAAAGGAAUUGACGGGGACCCGCACAAGCGGUGGAGUAUGUGGUUUAAUUCGAUGCAACGCGAAGAACCUUACCAAGACUUGACAUCCGAUGAAUCUUUUUGAAAGAAGAGAGUGCCUUAGGGAACAUCGUGACAGGUGGUGCAUGGCUGUCGUCAGCUCGUGUCGUGAGAUGUUGGGUUAAGUCCCGCAACGAGCGCAACCCUCGUCCUUAGUUGCCAGCAUUAAGUUGGGGACUCUAGGGAGACCGCCGGGGAGAACUCGGAGGAAGGUGGGGAUGACGUCAAGUCAGCAUGCCCCUUACGUCUUGGGCUACACACGUACUACAAUGGUUGGGACAAAGGGAUGCGAGACCGCAAGGUGGAGCGAAACCCAUCAAACCCAGCCCCAGUUCAGAUCGUCGGCUGAAACUCGCCGACGUGAAGGAGGAAUCGCUAGUAAUCGCAGGUCAGCAUACUGCGGUGAAUCCGUUCCCGGGUCUUGUACACACCGCCCGUCACACCAUGGAAGUUGGUAACAUCCGAAGUCGUUACUCCAACCAUUUAUGGAGGAGGACGCCGAAGGUGGGACUAGUGACUGGGGUGAAGUCGUAACAAGGUAGCCGUACCGGAAGGUGUGGCUGGAUCACCUCCUUA